UGCGCAGGCGGAAUAUUAAGUCAGUGGUGAAAUCUUACGGCUCAACCGUAAAACUGCCAUUGAUACUGAUAUUCUUGAGUAUAGUUGUAGUGGGCGGAAUAUAUCAUGUAGCGAUGAAAUGCUUAGAUAUGAUAUAGAACACCGAUCGCGAAGGCAGCUCACUAAACUAUAACUGACGCUCAGGCACGAAAGCGUGGGGAGCAAACAGGAUUAGAUACCCGGUAGUCC
rnacentral:rRNA from 1 species